CUUGCCUUUAUAUCUUGUCUGUCAUGCUAAAGUGUAGUUUUACUAGCCCCGUAUGUAAUUGUUUUAUUUACCUAUAUGAAUUCCUCUAUUUCCCCUCUGAUUUCUGACUGACCUCUGACCCCUCCCCCUUCUUUUAUUGAUAUGUUUGUUUUUAUUUGAAUAACUAUCCCUUCAUCUCUGUACCUAGAUACAUAUCUCCCUCCCUCAGCUUUAUUGCAAGCCUAUCUGACUCUUUAUUCAACAGCCUGAUUUCAGAAUUAUCAAGCCCAAUACUGCUGCAAGAAAGUCUGCUUUCUACUUUCUGUACCCAGUCCC